GAUGAACGCUGGCGGCGUGCCUAACACAUGCAAGUCGAACGGAGUCGUUUUGGAAAUCUCUUCGGAGAUGGAAUUCUCGACUUAGUGGCGGACGGGUGAGUAACGCGUGAGCAAUCUGCCUUUAAGAGGGGGAUAACAGUCGGAAACGGCUGCUAAUACCGCAUAAAGCAUUAAAUUCGCAUGUUUUUGAUGCCAAAGGAGCAAUCCGCUUUUAGAUGAGCUCGCGUCUGAUUAGCUAGUUGGCGGGGUAACGGCCCACCAAGGCGACGAUCAGUAGCCGGACUGAGAGGUUGAACGGCCACAUUGGGACUGAGACACGGCCCAGACUCCUACGGGAGGCAGCAGUGGGGAAUAUUGCGCAAUGGGGGAAACCCUGACGCAGCAACGCCGCGUGAUUGAAGAAGGCCUUCGGGUCGUAAAGAUCUUUAAUCAGGGACGAAACAAAUGACGGUACCUGAAGAAUAAGCUCCGGCUAACUACGUG
rnacentral:rRNA from 1 species